AUUGAACGCUGGCGGCGUGCCUAACACAUGCAAGUCGAGCGGUAACAGGUGUAGCAAUACAUGCUGACGAGCGGCGGACGGGUGAGUAACGCUUGGGAAUCUGCCUAUUAGUGGGGGACAACCCGGGGAAACUCGGGCUAAUACCGCAUACGCUCUACGGAGGAAAGCCGGGGACCGCAAGGCCUGGCGUUAAUAGAUGAGCCCAAGUCGGAUUAGCUAGUUGGUAGGGUAAUGGCCACCAAGGCGACGAUCCGUAACUGGUCUGAGAGGACGACCAGUCACACCGGAACUGAGACACGGUCCGGACUCCUACGGGAGGCAGCAGUGGGGAAUAUUGGACAAUGGGCGAAAGCCUGAUCCAGCGACGCCGCGUGGGUGAAGAAGGCCUGCGGGUUGUAAAGCCCUUUCAGUGGGAAGAAAAGCCUCGACCUAACACGUCGGGGUCUUGACGUAACCCAUAGAAGAAGCACCGGCUAACUCUGUGCCA
rnacentral:rRNA from 1 species